ACCUGGUUGAUCCUGCCAGUAGUCAUAUGCUUGUCUUAAAGAUUAAGCCAUGCAUGUCUAAGUAUAAGCAUUUAUACCGCGAGACUGCGAACGGCUCAUUAAAACAGUUAUGGUUUAUUUGAUGGUUCCUUUGCUACUUGGAUAACCGUAGUAAUUCUAGAGCUAAUACAUGCACGAAGGGGCGACUCACGAAGCCCUGUAUUUAUUAGAUUAAAGCCAACCACCUCCGGGUGUUCGUGGUGAAUCAUAGUAACUUCUCGGAUCGCCGGCUCUACGCCAGCGACGUGUCAUUCAAAUUUCUGCCCUAUCAGCUUUAGAUGGUAGGAUAUGGGCCUACCAUGGCGGUGGCGGGUAACGGAGAAUUAGGGUUCGAUUCCGGAGAGGGAGCCUGAGAAACGGCUACCACUUCUAAGGAAGGCAGCAGGCGCGCAAAUUACCCAAUCCUGACUCAGGGAGGUAGUGACAAGAAAUAACAAUAAACCGGCUUAUGCCGGUUUAAUUGGAAUGAGUACAAUUUAAACAUCUUAACGAGGAACAAUUGGAGGGCAAGUCUGGUGCCAGCAGCCGCGGUAAUUCCAGCUCCAAUAGCGUAUACUAAAGUUGUUGCAGUUAAAAAGCUCGUAGUUGGAUUUCUGCGGGGGCGGGGCGGCCGACCACAACUCGUGGUUCGAGCUAGCACUUCCCCUGCAUCCUGCCGCGAACCGUGCUACCAUUAGUUUGGUGGCGCUGGGGAUCGGCUCGUUUACUUUGAGAAAAAUAGAGUGUUCAGAGCAGGCCACACGCCUUGAAUAAGUUAGCAUGGAAUAAUGAUAAAGGACUUCGGUUCUAUUUUGUUGGUGUUCGGGACUGAAGUAAUGAUUGAUAGGGACAGUUGGGGCGGUCAGUAUUCCAAAGCGAGAGGUGAAAUUCUUAGACCUUCGGAAGACUAACAGCUGCGAAAGCGUUCCGCAAGGAUGUUCCCUUUGAUCAAGAACGAAAGUUGGGGGAUCGAAGACGAUCAGAUACCGUCAUAGUCUCAACUAUAAACUAUACCAGCUAGGGAUCGGCCAACGUUUACUUAUAUCGACUUGGUCGGCACCUUAUGAGAAAUCAAAGCAUCUGGGUUCCGGGGGGAGUAUGGUCGCAAGGCUGAAACUUAAA
rnacentral:rRNA from 1 species